rnacentral:rRNA from 1 species
AUUGAACGCUGGCGGCAUGCCUUACACAUGCAAGUCGAACGGCAGCACGGGUGCUUGCACCUGGUGGCGAGUGGCGAACGGGUGAGUAAUACAUCGGAACAUGUCCUGUAGUGGGGGAUAGCCCGGCGAAAGCCGGAUUAAUACCGCAUACGAUCCACGGAUGAAAGCGGGGGACCUUCGGGCCUCGCGCUAUAGGGUUGGCCGAUGGCUGAUUAGCUAGUUGGUGGGGUAAAGGCCUACCAAGGCGACGAUCAGUAGCUGGUCUGAGAGGACGACCAGCCACACUGGGACUGAGACACGGCCCAGACUCCUACGGGAGGCAGCAGUGGGGAAUUUUGGACAAUGGGCGAAAGCCUGAUCCAGCAAUGCCGCGUGUGUGAAGAAGGACUUCGGGUUGUAAAGCACUUUUGUCCGGAAAGAAAUCCUUGACUCUAAUACAGUCGGGGGAUGACGGUACCGGAAGAAUAAGCACCGGCUAACUACGU